rnacentral:lncRNA from 1 species
GUUAUAGAGUAAUAAGAGACCCCAAAUGCAUGGAAAAUGAAGUCACAAAAUAACUAACAAGUAAGAGAGUGGACGGAAAGAAGCGUACGCCAUACUAUUAAGAAGACGAACGAAGACCCUCUCCCUCUCUCAAGAAUUAACGAACCAAAGAAAAGGCUUUGAUUCAGUUGAGCUAUCGACAGUCACUCACUAACUAUACGAAAGAGGGAACUUAGAGCAACGACAAGACAAUGGAAUCCACAGAUUGGGGCUACGCUUACGAAAAGUACUCUGAACAACAACGACACUUAAAUGAUGGAGCUACAGAUCCCAGCCCUGCAUCAAAUAGUUCAUCACCAUCGAAUAAUAAUAACCAUCACUUAACAGAUAUUGGGAAAUUCAUCAAGAGAACAAUCUCCCUUCAAAAUAUUAAACGGUCUCCCCUAACUAAACAAACGAGCUUUCGAACCCGAGAGUCUACUGAGUCCUUGGACACAAAAAGAAAGAAGCCCCCUCCACAGUUUUGGUGGUAAAAUAACCUUAUUAAAUAAUUGUAUUGUUAUAUAGCUAUUAUUUUUUUUAACUUAAUAUUAUGUUUUAUUAUUAAAUAUUAUAAAUUUGUAAUGUUGUAUAUGAUAUUUUUUUUACAUUCAAAUAUAUGUGAUAAUUUGUA